rnacentral:rRNA from 1 species
UACGUAGGUGGCAAGCGUUAUCCGGAAUGAUUGGGCGUAAAGCGUCCGCAGGUGGCGAUGUAAGUCUGCUGUUAAAGAGUCUAGCUCAACUAGAUAAGAGCAGUGGAAACUACAUAGCUAGAGUACGUUCGGGGCAGAGGGAAUUCCUGGUGUAGCGGUGAAAUGCGUAGAGAUCAGGAAGAACACCAGUGGCGAAGGCGCUCUGCUAGGCCGUAACUGACACUGAGGGACGAAAGCUAGGGGAGCGAAUGAG